rnacentral:rRNA from 1 species
GAUGAACGCUGGCGGUAUGCCUAACACAUGCAAGUCGUACGAGAGUUUUUAACUCUAGUGGCGGACGGGUGAGUAACACGUGAGAAUUUGCCUUUAGGAGGGGGAUAACAAUUGGAAACGAAUGCUAAUACCCCAUAUGCUUUUGAGUGAAAUGGAUUUUAUCCGCCUAGAGAGAAGCUCGCGGCUGAUUAGCUUGUUGGUAAGGUAAGAGCUUACCAAGGCGACGAUCAGUAUCUGGUUUGAGAGGACGAUCAGACACACUGGAACUGAGACACGGUCCAGACUCCUACGGGAGGCAGCAGUGGGAAUUUUGGACAAAUGGGGGGCAACCCUGAUCCAGCAAUGCCGCGUGAGUGAAGAAGGCC